CUUGUGAUGUUUUCUGGCUCUGGUAGCUCCCGGGAAGUUGAGCUGUGUUUAGCUCCUGGAUUUUGCAGAGCUGGCACUUUAGACGAAGAGGUCACUUAACUCCUGAAGCGAAGCACAAAAGGCGGGAGGCGGGGGAGGACUGGAGGCUCUCCAGAUCCGAGCAUUGUCCGUGCGAGGAUCGCGCUGGCUUGCGGGGCGCACUCUUGUCUACCGCCUCCUGAGGUGGAGCUCCGGAUGAGUGGACUUAAAGGGGCUGCUUUCCGCCUCCAGCCCGGGCACCUCCACUUUGUCCUCGAAGGAACCGGGAACCUGUCUAAUCACACUUGAAAAAUAAAAAGCAGAACCCCUCUGAGUUCCGGUCAGCCACGAGCUCCCAGAGACCGAAGGCGCGCGCUCGGCCGAGAUCGCUGGGAAAGGGGUGCUUCGGACUCGUGAGCGCGCGCACGCACGCGUGUCUGUCCAUCCAGUCCAUCUGUGCACUUCCGCUCUGCUGCUGCUACUGCUGCUGCUAAGUCGCUUCAGUCAUGUCGAACUCUGUGCGACCCCAGAGACAGGAGCCCACCAGGCUCCCCUGUACCUG